rnacentral:rRNA from 1 species
UGUUUCGGCUAGGGGGUCAUCCCGACUUACCAACCCGAUGCAAACUGCGAAUACCGAAGAAUGUUAUCACGGGAGACACACGGCGGGUGCUAACGUCCGUCGUGAAGAGGGAAACAACCCAGACCGCCAGCUAAGGUCCCAAAGUCAUGGUUAAGUGGGAAACGAUGUGGGAAGGCACAGACAGCCAGGAUGUUGGCUUAGAAGCAGCCAUCAUUUAAAGAAAGCGUAAUAGCUCACUGGUCGAGUCGGCCUGCGCGGAAGAUGUAACGGGGCUAAACCAUGCACCGAAGCUGCGGCAGCGACACUAUGUGUUGUUGGGUAGGGGAGCGUU